UACGAAGGGGGCUAGCGUUGCUCGGAAUUACUGGGCGUAAAGGGCGCGUAGGCGGCCCCUUUUGUCGCGUGUGAAAGCCCCGGGCUCAACCUGGGAACGGCGCGCGAAACGGGGGGGCUUGAGUUCGGGAGAGGAGCGUGGAAUUCCCAGUGUAGAGGUGAAAUGCGUAGAUAUCUGAAGGAACAUCAGUGGCGAAAGCGACUUCCUGGACCAAUACUGACGCUCAUGUGCGAAAGCGUGGGGAGCAAACAGG
rnacentral:rRNA from 1 species